AUACGGAGGAUGCAAGCGUUAUCCGGAUUUAUUGGGUUUAAAGGGUGCGUAGGCGGUUUGCUAAGCGGGAGGUGAAAUGCCGGCGCUCAACGUCGGAAGUGCCUCCCGAACUGGUGGACUGGAAUGACUCUGCCGUGGGAGGAAUGUGUAGUGUAGCGGUGAAAUGCUUAGAGAUUACACAGAACACCGAUUGCGAAGGCAUCUCACGAAGGGUUGAUUGACGCUGAGGCACGAAAGCGUGGGGAUCAAACAGGGUUAGAUACCCUGGUAGUCCACGCAGUAAACGAUGAUGGCUAACCGCUGGUUUAUUCGGAUCAGUGGCCAAGCGAAAGCGAUAAGCCAUCCACCUGGGGAGUACGACCGCAAGGUUGAAACUCAAAUGAAUUGGCGGGG
rnacentral:rRNA from 1 species